UAUUAAAUAUUUUAUCUAUUUGUAUUGUUAAAAAUUGAAGUUAUUGACGAAAUAACUAAAUAAUGACACAUAGUUUGCUAUGAGUACCUUAUACUACUGUAUAAUGAUCAAUUUUUAAUAAUAAAAAUAAAUAAAAUUUUUAAUA
rfam:Gossypium arboreum cultivar AKA8401 contig_15935_1, whole genome shotgun sequence.